rnacentral:rRNA from 1 species
UGAAAAAUUAGCGGAUGACCUGUGGCUGGGGGUGAAAGGCCAAUCAAACCGGGAGAUAGCUGGUUCUCCCCGAAAGCUAUUUAGGUAGCGCCUCGUGAAUUCAUCUCCGGGGGUAGAGCACUGUUUCGGCUAGGGGGCCAUCCCGGCUUACCAACCCGAUGCAAACUGCGAAUACCGGAGAAUGUUAUCACGGGAGACACACGGCGGGUGCUAACGUCCGUCGUGAAGAGGGAAACAACCCAGACCGCCAGCUAAGGUCCCAAAGUCAUGGUUAAGUGGGAAACGAUGUGGGAAGGCCCAGACAGCCAGGAUGUUGGCUUAGAAGCAGCCAUCAUUUAAAGAAAGCGUAAUAGCUCACUGGUCGAGUCGGCCUGCGCGGAAGAUGUAACGGGGCUAAACCAUGCACCGAAGCUGCGGCAGCG